CUGCACCACCUUAUUAAGUUAAUCAGAGACAUGCUAUUGGUUUAUUUUGGUGGUUGUGCAGGAUUAGGCCCCAUGUGCUGACUGCCCGACACCGUGAUAACCCAACCACCUGAUCGGCACAGUAACAGAUGGUUGGUCGGUCGGUCAGCGGGUAUGUGUCGAUGAUGGUCAACAUAUACACCAGGGACAUGGAGGAAUCCCACAUUGUUAUAGUAAUUGAUCUAGAACCAAACCCAUACCGGACUCUGCUAGCAAUAGCUCAGCUUUUUAUUUUCCAUCCCCUUUGUCCAUGCCCUCUUGGGUAACUUAAAGAUUCAGGGAAGAAAUCUUCUUAAUCAAUCAAGCUAGACACUUUUGAUGAUCAAUGUUUUGAUUUUUCUUUAGCAUCAUAUUGGAUCUAUCACCGAGUUGACUUCCCUAAAUCCUUAAUUUCUUCCUAUCAACUUACACUCAAAGGAGAUUGGUGCAUUGAUGGGUAUCAUGCAAUGCUUUCCUAGUUAGAAUCCGAUAGCUCUUGUGAUUUGUGAUGCUCGAUCUAAAUUUGCAUGUUAAAAGUAGGUGAGGUAAAUUAUGUACCAAUUCUCUGGCACUCCAUCUCUGUAUCUUGAUUUAAGAAGUGGUACAUUUCAUCCUAUCUAGCGAGACAUAACCACAUGGCUGCUGCUACUGCAAGGGGCCAUGAGGUUAGGAAGGUACCUCAAGAAGAUCAAAAACGGGCGGUGACCACCAAGUCGGUCGAUCCAAAUGAUAAUCCCUCCAUGGACAAAUCAUGCUACUAGGAUCGGAAAUGAUCUUGUGGUCCUGUAGGACAAAUUAACCACC
rnacentral:lncRNA from 1 species